CUGAUAGGAUAACGGGUAGCACGAUUGUGAGACAAGCUUGCGUAGAAGCUCGCUCUACAUCGUGUUACCCAAUGUCUCAUCGC
rfam:Haemonchus contortus, ISE/inbred ISE, WGS project CAVP01000000 data, contig: Hcontortus_43982